rnacentral:rRNA from 1 species
AUUGAACGCUGGCGGCAUGCUUUACACAUGCAAGUCGAACGGUAACAGGCCUUCGGGUGCUGACGAGUGGCGAACGGGUGAGUAAUGCAUCGGAACGUGCCCAGAGGUGGGGGAUAACGCAGCGAAAGCUGUGCUAAUACCGCAUGUGAUCUGAGGAUGAAAGCGGGGGACCAGGCAGCAAUGUUUGGCCUCGCGCCUUUGGAGCGGCCGAUGUCAGAUUAGGUAGUUGGUGGGGUAAAGGCCUACCAAGGCGACGAUCUGUAGCUGGUCUGAGAGGACGAACAGCCACACUGGGACUGAGACACGGCCCAGACUCCUACGGGAGGCAGCAGUGGGGAAUUUUGGACAAUGGGCGCAAGCCUGAUCCAGCAAUGUCGCGUGCGGGAAGAAGGCCUUCGGGUUGUAAACCGCUUUUGUACGGAACGAAAAGGCUCUGGCUAAUACCUGGGGCUGAUGACGGUACCGUAAGAAUAAGCACCGGCUAACUACGUG